AGACAGUUCGGUCCCUAUCUGCUGUGGGCGUUGGAUGAUUGAGAGGGGCUGCUUUUAGUACGAGAGGACCGAAGUGGACGAACCUCUGGUUUACCAGUUAUUCUGCCAAGGGUAAGUGCUGGGUAUCUAAGUUCGGAAGGGAUAACCGCUGAAAGCAUCUAAGCGGGAAGCCCGCCUCAAGAUAAAUCAUCCCUGAGGAUUUAAUCCUCCUAAAGACUACGGACAGACUAUCCGUUUGAUAGGUUGCAGGUGUAAGUAUAGUAAUGUAUUCAGCCGAGCAAUACUAAUAAGUCGUGAGGCUUGACCAU
rnacentral:rRNA from 1 species